rnacentral:rRNA from 1 species
ACGAACGCUGGCGGCGUGCCUAAUACAUGCAAGUCGAACGCACUCUCGUUUAGAUUGAAGGAGUUUGCUCCUGAUUGAUAAACAUUUGAGUGAGUGGCGGACGGGUGAGUAACACGUGGGUAACCUGCCCUAAAGUGGGGGAUAACAUUUGGAAACAGAUGCUAAUACCGCAUAAAACCUAACACCGCAUGGUGUAGGGUUGAAAGAUGGUUUCGGCUAUCACUUUAGGAUGGACCCGCGGUGCAUUAGUUAGUUGGUGAGGUAAAGGCUCACCAAGACCGUGAUGCAUAGCCGACCUGAGAUGGUAAUCGGCCACACUGGGACUGAGACACGGCCCAGACUCCUACGGGAGGCAGCAGUAGGGAAUCUUCCACAAUGGACGAAAGUCUGAUGGAGCAACGCCGCGUGAGUGAAGAAGGUUUUCGGAUCGUAAAACUCUGUUGUUGGAGAAGAAUGUAUCUGAUAGUAACUGAUCAGGUAGUGACGGUAUCCAACCAGAAAGCCACGGCUAACUACGUG